rnacentral:rRNA from 1 species
AACGAACGCUGGCGGUAUGCUUUACACAUGCAAGUCGAACGAACUUAGGCCUAGCUUGCUAGGAACGGUUAGUGGCAGACGGGUGAGUAACGCGUGGGAACCUACCUUGUAGUAUGGAAUAGUCCCGGGAAACUGGGUUUAAUACCAUAUACGCUCUUCGGAGGAAAGAUUUAUUGCUAUAAGAUGGGCCCGCGUUAGAUUAGUUUGUUGGUGAGGUAAUGGCUCACCAAGACUGCGAUCUAUAGCUGGUUUGAGAGGAUGAUCAGCCACACUGGAACUGAGACACGGUCCAG